rnacentral:rRNA from 1 species
UAGGGAAUCUUCGGCAAUGGGGGCAACCCUGACCGAGCAACGCCGCGUGAGUGAAGAAGGUUUUCGGAUCGUAAAGCUCUGUUGUAAGUCAAGAACGAGUGUGAGAGUGGAAAGUUCACACUGUGACGGUAGCUUACCAGAAAGGGACGGCUAACUACGUGCCAGCAGCCGCGGUAAUACGUAGGUCCCGAGCGUUGUCCGGAUUUAUUGGGCGUAAAGCGAGCGCAGGCGGUUUGAUAAGUCUGAAGUUAAAGGCUGUGGCUCAACCAUAGUUCGCUUUGGAAACUGUCAAACUUGAGUGCAGAAGGGGAGAGUGGAAUUCCAUGUGUAGCGGUGAAAUGCGUAGAUAUAUGGAGGAACACCGGUGGCGAAAGCGGCUCUCUGGUCUGUAACUGACGCUGAGGCUCGAAAGCGUGGGGAGCGAACAGGAUUAGAUACCCUGGUAGUCCACGCCGUAAACGAUGAGUGCUAGGUGUUGGAUCCUUUCCGGGAUUCAGUGCCGUAGCUAACGCAUUAAGCACUCCGCCUGGGGAGUACGACCGCAAGGNUG